rnacentral:rRNA from 1 species
GGUUAAGCGAAUAAGCGUACACGGUGGAUGCCUAGGCAAUCAGAGGCGAUGAAGGACGUGCUAAUCUGCGAAAAGCGUCGGUAAGGUGAUAUGAACCGUUAUACCCGACGAUAUCCGAAUGGGGAAACCCAGUAUCCAAUGGAUACUAUCAUUAACUGAAUCCAUAGGUUAAUGAGGCGAACCGGGAGAACUGAAACAUCUCAGUACCCCGAGGAAAAGAAAUCAACCGAGAUUCCCCUAGUAGCGGCGAGCGAACGGGGAGCAGCCCAGAGUCUUAAUCAAUAGCAGUGUCAGGAGAACGGUCUGGAAAGUCCGGCAGUAAAGGGUGAUAGCCCCGUAUCUGAAGAUGCUGUUAUUGUGAACUCGACGAGUAGGGCGGGACACGUGUUAUCCUGUCUGAAUAUGGGGGGACCAUCCUCCAAGGCUAAAUACUCCUGAUUGACCGAUAGUGAACCAGUACCGUGAGGGAAAGGCGAAAAGAACCCCGGCGAGGGGAGUGAAAAAGAACCUGAAACCGUGUACGUACAAGCAGUAGGAGCCUCUUUAUGGGGUGACUGCGUACCUUUUGUAUAAUGGGUCAGCGACUUAUAUUCUGUAGCAAGGUUAACCGUAUAGGGGAGCCGUAGGGAAACCGAGUCUUAACUGGGCGAAUGAGUUGCAGGGUAUAGACCCGAAACCCGGUGAUCUAUCCAUGGGCAGGUUGAAGGUUGGGUAACACUAACUGGAGGACCGAACCGACUAAUGUUGAAAAAUUAGCGGAUGACUUGUGGAUGGGGGUGAAAGGCCAAUCAAACCGGGAGAUAGCUGGUUCUCCCCGAAAGCUAUUUAGGUAGCGCCUCGUGAACUCAUCUUCGGGGGUAGAGCACUGUUUCGACUAGGGGGUCAUCCCGACUUACCAACUCGAUGCAAACUGCGAAUACCGAAGAAUGUUAUCACGGGAGACACACGGCGGGUGCUAACGUCCGUCGUGAAGAGGGAAACAACCCAGACCGCCAGCUAAGGUCCCAAAGUCAUGGUUAAGUGGGAAACGAAGUGGGAAGGCUCAGACAGCCAGGAUGUUGGCUUAGAAGCAGCCAUCAUUUAAAGAAAGCGUAAUAGCUCACUGGUCGAGUCGGCCCGCGCGGAAGAUGUAACGGGGCUAAACCAUGCACCGAAGCUGCGGCAGCGACACAAUGUGUUGUUGGGUAGGGGAGCGUUCUGUAAGCCUGCGAAGGUGUACUGUGAGGUAUGCUGGAGGUAUCAGAAGUGCGAAUGCUGACAUAAGUAACGAUAAUGCGGGUGAAAAACCCGCACGCCGGAAGACCAAGGGUUCCUGUCCAACGUUAAUCGGGGCAGGGUGAGUCGACCCCUAAGGCGAGGCUGAAAAGCGUAGUCGAUGGGAAACGGGUUAAUAUUCCCGUACUGGUGGUAACUGCGAUGGGGGAACGGAGAAGGCUAGGUUGUCCGGGCGACGGUCGUCCCGGUUCAAGCAGGUAGGCAGAGUGAUUAGGCAAAUCCGGUCACUUAAUGCUGAGAUGUGAUGACGAACCACCAAGGUGGUGAAGCAAUUGAUGCCCCGCUUCCAGGAAAAGCCUCUAAGCUUCAGGUUACCAACAAUCGUACCCCAAACCGACACAGGUGGUCAGGUAGAGAAUACUCAGGCGCUUGAGAGAACUCGGGUGAAGGAACUAGGCAAAAUGGUGCCGUAACUUCGGGAGAAGGCACGCUGGCGGUAAGUAAAGUCCCUCGCGGACAGAGCUGAAGCCAGUCGAAGAUACCAGCUGGCUGCAACUGUUUAUUAAAAACACAGCACUGUGCAAACACGAAAGUGGACGUAUACGGUGUGACGCCUGCCCGGUGCUGGAAGGUUAAUUGAUGGGGUUAGCGUAAGCGAAGCUCCUGAUCGAAGCCCCAGUAAACGGCGGCCGUAACUAUAACGGUCCUAAGGUAGCGAAAUUCCUUGUCGGGUAAGUUCCGACCUGCACGAAUGGCGUAAUGAUGGCCAGGCUGUCUCCACCCGAGACUCAGUGAAAUUGAACUCGCUGUGAAGAUGCAGUGUACCCGCGGCAAGACGGAAAGACCCCGUGAACCUUUACUAUAGCUUGACACUGAACAUUGAGCCUUGAUGUGUAGGAUAGGUGGGAGGCUUUGAAGUGUGGACGCCAGUCUGCAUGGAGCCAACCUUGAAAUACCACCCUUUAACGUUUGAUGUUCUAACCUAGGCCCAUAAACUGGGUCGGGGACCGUGUCUGGUGGGUAGUUUGACUGGGGCGGUCUCCUCCUAAAGAGUAACGGAGGAGCACGAAGGUUGGCUAAGCAUGGUCGGACAUCAUGCGGUUAGUGCAAAGGCAUAAGCCAGCUUGACUGCGAGAGUGACGGCUCGAGCAGGUACGAAAGUAGGUCUUAGUGAUCCGGUGGUUCUGAAUGGAAGGGCCAUCGCUCAACGGAUAAAAGGUACUCCGGGGAUAACAGGCUGAUACCGCCCAAGAGUUCAUAUCGACGGCGGUGUUUGGCACCUCGAUGUCGGCUCAUCACAUCCUGGGGCUGAAGUAGGUCCCAAGGGUAUGGCUGUUCGCCAUUUAAAGUGGUACGCGAGCUGGGUUUAGAACGUCGUGAGACAGUUCGGUCCCUAUCUGCCGUGGGCGUUGGAAGAUUGAGAGGGGUUGCUCCUAGUACGAGAGGACCGGAGUGAACGCACCACUGGUGUUCGGGUUGUCAUGCCAAUGGCAUUGCCCGGUAGCUAAGUGCGGAAGAGAUAACCGCUGAAAGCAUCUAAGCGGGAAACUUGCCUCGAGAUGAGUCUUCCCUGUCGCUUUAAGCGACCUAAAGGAACGUUUAAGACUAAGACGUUGAUAGGCUGGGUGUGUAAGCGUAGCGAUACGUUGAGCUAACCAGUACUAAUGAACCGUGAGGCUUAACCUG